rnacentral:rRNA from 1 species
GAUGAACGCUGGCGGCGUGCCUAAUACAUGCAAGUCGAGCGAACAGAUGAGGAGCUUGCUCCUCUGACGUUAGCGGCGGACGGGUGAGUAACACGUGGAUAACCUACCUAUAAGACUGGGAUAACUUCGGGAAACCGGAGCUAAUACCGGAUAAUAUAUUGAACCGCAUGGUUCAAUAGUGAAAGACGGUUUUGCUGUCACUUAUAGAUGGAUCCGCGCCGCAUUAGCUAGUUGGUAAGGUAACGGCUUACCAAGGCAACGAUGCGUAGCCGACCUGAGAGGGUGAUCGGCCACACUGGAACUGGGACACGGUCCAGACUCCUACGGGAGGCAGCAGUAGGGAAUCUUCCGCAAUGGGCGAAAGCCUGACGGAGCAACGCCGCGUGAGUGAUGAAGGUCGUCGGAUCGUAAAACUCUGUUAUUAGGGAAGAACAAAUGUGUAAGUAACUAUGCACGUCUUGACGGUACCUAAUCAGAAAGCCACGGCUAACUACG